AUUCAGUUGACGAGUUCCAAAUAGGACGAAACGCGCGUCAGGUGCUUCCAGGAU
rfam:Schistosoma rodhaini strain Burundi genome assembly, scaffold: SROB_scaffold0000328